AAUAAAGUGCCUGAUAAAAGGAUUAUUCUGAUAGGAUAAAAAAUGUAAAUUAAAUUACCUUUAUUA
rnacentral:tRNA from 1 species